rnacentral:rRNA from 1 species
AUUGAACGCUGGCGGCAGGCCUAACACAUGCAAGUCGAACGAGUGGCGGACGGGUGAGUAAUGUCUGGGAAACUGGCCGAUGGCGGGGGAUAACUACUGGAAACUGUCGCUAAUACCGCAUACCAUCGGAUGUGCCCAAAUGGGCUUAGUGAGUAGGUGGGGUAACGGCUAACCUAGGCGACGAUCCCUAGCUGGUCUGAGAGGAUGACCAGCCAAACCGGAACUGAGACACGGCCCAGACUCCUACGGGAGGCAGCAGUGGGGAAUAUUGCACAAUGGGGGCAAGCCUGAUGCAGCCAUGCCGCGUGUAUGAAGAAGGCCUUCGGGUUGUAAAGUUCUUUCAGUGAGGAGGCGUUAAUCGCAGAAGAAGCACCGGCUAACUCCGUGCCAGCAGCCGCGGUAAUAC